CUGGGUUAGUCGGGACCUAAGGAGAGACCGAAAGGUGUAUCCGAUGGACAACAGGUUGAUAUUCCUGUACUAGAGUAUGUAGUGAUGGAGGGACGCAGUAGGCUAACUAAAGCAGACGAUUGGAAGAGUCUGUCUAAGCAGUGAGGUGUGAAUUGAGUUAAAUGCUUAGUUCUAUAACAUUGAGCUGUGAUGGGGAGCGAAGUUUAGUAGCGAAGUUAGUGACGUCACACUGCCAAGAAAAGCUUCUAGCGUUUAAACAUACUCUACCCGUACCGCAAACCGACACAGGUAGUCGA
rnacentral:rRNA from 1 species